AUGCUGUGGAUACAGAAGGGAGCCACCAACUUCCCAAGUUUAAGGGUGAAAUGGAGGAAAGUUCAUGUAAUACUCAGGGAAGUCCAAUUCUUCCCACGUCUUUCACUUGGGCCCCACACAAAAAUAAAGCAACUAGAAGUGCACCGUUCUGUUCACAGUGCGCUCACCGUCGGUGGCGUCCGCUGGAAGCCCCGGGUCGGACCGGGAGGGGGACAGUGCCUCCUGCUCAGGGCCGGUAUCCAAACUGAUCCGCUCCCCACCGCACCCCCAGAACCUAAGAAAACCAGACCCCGCAAACCUGCACGAACAGAGCCAUUUCCUCCUAAUGUGUGCUUCAAACCCACGAAACCCAACUGGAAGCAGGACCAGCGUGCCUGCCCUGCACGCUACUCCUCCCGCGGCAGCAGCCGCCGAUCCCGGCAGGUGGUGGGUCCUCGUGGGGUUCCGCGAACGUUGAGCCGCCACGCGCAACCGACGCCGGCUGGGCCUGCAAAUCACCUCCCGGCCGCCAGGGGCGCCCCAGCCGCCAGAGCGAGGCGGGUCGCCCAGGAGGGGGCGCGCGGCGCCGCAGGGAAAGAGGGUGCCGCCUCGCUAGCCCUGCGCCCCUCCCCCCGCGCGCCCUCCAGGCGGGGCAGACCGCGAGGCCUCUGUGGGCGAGGGGGCGGGGACGAAACGGCCCGAGGAUCCGUGCGCUGCACGGCGGCGGCGCGAGCCCGAGGGGGCGUGGGUGAGGGUAACCGGUGUGGGCGCCGAGACAGCGCCGGGCAGAGGGACCUGGCUACCCUGGACAGCGCAUCGCCGCCCGCCUGGGUUGCCGCGCCACAGCCGCUGCGGAUCACGGUGAGUGGGACUGCGCGCCGCCACCGCCACCGCCACCGCCGCGCUUUCUUUCUCUCCUGGACCCAGGCACCUGGCGGGAAAGGGCCGAGCGGGUGGCUGCGCGGAGGUUGCGGGUUCGCCGCUGGAACCGGCUACCUUCGGAGGGACAGGGUCCGCGUGGGUCUGGGGAGCGGGAGCUAA
rnacentral:lncRNA from 1 species